ensembl:lncRNA
UGAAUCACCUCCAGAGUGCAAGUCAUACCUAGCCCGAAACAACAAUACCAAAAAGGAUUACAAUUACGCUUCAACAGCACUACUCUCCCACUGUGAAUGACAAUACCUCUAACAUCGACAUUUCCAUCUUGAGUUGAACUACAAACUACAUGCGGAUAAAGAGUGCAGGAUAAAGUUUUUCUCAUUCAGGGUCCGUAUGGACAGCAAAACGGGAAACUGCUUCUUCGCCCCAUGUAAUGGUAAAGGUCAACGUCAAGUUUUCAAAAUCUCAGGCAUCAACACAAUUAUCUCUCGAAGCAAAGAGAAACGGAGAUGACCUACACACAAUCUUAGCAUCUCGUGUUGCUUCUGAGGGAGACAG